AGCCCACCAGCUAGCUCGCACCCUAAAAUGCAACAAUUCAAUGUAAAUAACCCCUAACAACCUCAAACAUUCAAGACCAAACCAUUUUUCCCCCCAAGUAUGGGCGACAGAAAAG
rnacentral:rRNA from 1 species